rnacentral:rRNA from 1 species
UUCUUACACCGAAUGCUUGCAUUCACCGUAAGAAGUUGAGUGGCGGACGGGUGAGUAACACGUGGGUAACCUGCCUAAAAGAAGGGGAUAACACUUGGAAACAGGUGCUAAUACCGUAUAUCUCUAAGGAUCGCAUGAUUCUUAGAUGAAAGAUGGUUCUGCUAUCGCUUUUAGAUGGACCCGCGGCGUAUUAACUAGUUGGUGGGGUAACGGCCUACCAAGGUGAUGAUACGUAGCCGAACUGAGAGGUUGAUCGGCCACAUUGGGACUGAGACACGGCCCAAACUCCUACGGGAGGCAGCAGUAGGGAAUCUUCCACAAUGGACGCAAGUCUGAUGGAGCAACGCCGCGUGAGUGAAGAAGGUCUUCGGAUCGUAAAACUCUGUUGUUAGAGAAGAACACGAGUGAGAGUAACUGUUCAUUCGAUGACGGUAUCUAACCAGCAAGUCACGGCUAACUACGUGCCAGCAGCCGCGGUAAUACGUAGGUGGCAAGCGUUGUCCGGAUUUAUUGGGCGUAAAGGGAACGCAGGCGGUCUUUUAAGUCUGAUGUGAAAGCCUUCGGCUUAACCGGAGUAGUGCAUUGGAAACUGGAAGACUUGAGUGCAGAAGAGGAGAGUGGAACUCCAUGUGUAGCGGUGAAAUGCGUAGAUAUAUGGAAGAACACCAGUGGCGAAAGCGGCU